rnacentral:rRNA from 1 species
GCGCGCGAAGCUUACGCGGAGCGGCGGACAGCUCAGUAAUACAGUUACGAUUUACCCGGGGCAGCAAACGGAUAACCGUGGUAAGCUACGGCUAAGACGUGGACGCGCUGCGCGGGGGUGAGGCCGGCGCAGCGGACAGGACACGGCCGCGGCUAAGUUUCUGGCCUAUCAGCUAUUGGAAGGUAGGGUAAGGGCCUACCUUGGCGAUGACGGGUGACGGGGGAUGAGAGUCCGAUUCCGGAGAGGGAGCCUGAGAAACAGCUCCCACGUCUAAGGAUGGCAGCAGGCGCGAAACUUACCCAAUCUGCGGGAGGUAGUGAAGAGACGUGGGCACGAGGCCGCACACCAAAGACGUGCGGGCCCGACUGGAGGGCAAGUCUGGUGCCAGCAGCCGCGGUAAUUCCAGCUCCAGGAGCGCACAUACACGUUGCUGCAGUUAAAACGUCCGUAGUUGGCGCACGGCACUGUGAGACACGCAUAGCUCAAGAUAUGGAGCAGGCAUGGGACGCCGGCGACACAGGAACAGAUGAUGGCAAUAGGAUUGCGCAGUUAGAGGUGAAAAUCGAGGACCUGCGCAGGACUAUCGGAAGCGAAGGCGAUUGCCAAGGAUGUCUCCGUUGAUCAAGGACUUAAGCCGGAGGAUCAAAGAUGAUUAGAUACCGUCGUAGUUCCGGCUGUAAACGAUGCCGACUAGGUGAGGCCGCGGGGCUGUGCCUUAGGAGAAAUCAAGAGUGUUUGGGCUCUGGGGAUAGUACGGUCGCAAGACAGAAACUUAAAGAAAUUGACGGAAGGACACCACAAGGAGUGGAGUGUGCG